CUUUGCUAAAACUUUUACGAACUCAUUUACCCAGAAUUCAUCCCUAAAUUUCUUUUGCUAGCCAUAAAUCAUUCUCAGCCAUUUAGGUUUAAUUAAACUUAGUAAACUAAAUUACAUGCCUAAAUUGUUUAAACAAUUUGGCUAGUAGACAAGUUUAGAAAUUUCUAUUGAAAUUUUGUUUUUUCACUCACAGUGUUUGACUAGAUCCUUGAUACGUAGACUUGACUUAUUUCUUCUUGACCUGUCAAACAAACCACAACCGAGUAUUAGAACCCUAAUAUUUGUGUCCUUCUACGACGUACUUAAUAUUUUUUACUAAAAAUGUCAUACAAAGAUUCCAAUUUUUAAGAACAAAACAAGCUCUUCACAAUUUUGCCUAAAAUUUCUAGAUUCAAACGUCCAACUAUAACAGCUCAUAUCUCACUCAUUUCUUCAUCAAACUAAGGGUAUUUUGUAUCAAACUCUUCCUUUUCAAGCCCUCUACAACUUACUUAAAGACAUGAAUACCUUAUUCUCAGUAAAUUUUCCCAGAUUUCCCUAAAACAGAGACUAUCCAAAAAACGCAUUUCCAGAAACCCUUUGCCUUCUACCUUAAAAUUAACCUAUUCUCAGUCAUUGAUAGCUCCAAUGAUCCUCAUCAAAGUUGUAGACAAUUGAAUAAACUUUCCAACCAUAUUAAAUAGAACUUCUAACGCUUCUUCUACACUUCCGGCUACUCGAAAUACCAGAGGUUUUUUCCAUAUUUGCACGUGCAGAAUCAGUAAGCUAUCUUCUCCUUCAAUUUCCACCAAUCUAACAUCAGACUCAGCUCAAACAUGCUUCAUAAACUUUAUUAGAAAAUGAAUUGAAUUUCACACCCCAUAGGCCUCAGCUCCUAACUCUUUUUUGUAGUUUUCAGUCACCAAAAUAACAGAGGUAUUUAGUAUAUAUGAACCAAAAUCUGCCAUGGUUGAGCUUCAAUUUAAGUUUUCCUUAUCUUCUUCAGCCGAAAAUUUUACACAUUAAAUUGGUGCUUGAUAUCUAUAAAAUAAAUAGAAAGGUUUCGGGUUCACAUUUGGUGCUUGAUAUCUAUAAAAUAACACAUUUUACACAUUAAAUUGCAAAACGAAGUUGAGCUAAACUAGCCAAAAAAUAGCACUUUUUGAGUGUUGUUGAUAAUCCUCUUAAUUAUAGUUGGAAAAGAACAAAAUAAAAGGACAUUGAAAAGAAAAUACGUUAAAUAUAGCUUACCUAUAUCACAAGUAUACGACUAUUUGCUAAGCUUAGCUAGCAGUUUAAGAAUAACAUAACACAAUGUACUUUAUUAUAUUAACCCAGUUCAGCAAAAAUUGCCUAGGUCUAGGGAGCUUUUCUGCUCAAGUACGAAAUAUUAUUGAGAUUCUUAACAUGUAACUUAAUCAUAGGUUACAUUAAACAAUACAAUCAUAUGUAUUAAUGAAAUCAGGCUCCCCUUACUAUGAGCAUACUUGACCCAGGCUCUCUCUAAGUAGAUGCAGAAUACCAUUGAAAACAACCGCUUCUGACUCCUUCAGCCUGUUUGAAUUGAUCGUUCAAUUCUGCAGUUCUUUCAUAAACAUAUUCCUUAUACUAUCAUCGUUGUACACAGAUUAUAUAUUGAAUCACUAGAGACACACAAAAACUCCGUCAUCACCUGUUUAUUCAGUCGAGCAUGACUUUCCCGAAUUGUUGGAUCCUUA
rnacentral:lncRNA from 1 species